GCACUGCUGACGAGUCCCAAACAGGAUGAAAUAGCUGUCCAGUGA
rfam:Echinostoma caproni strain Egypt genome assembly, scaffold: ECPE_scaffold0004365